rnacentral:rRNA from 1 species
AGUGAACGCUGGCGGUAGGCCUAACACAUGCAAGUCGAACGGCAGCACAGUAAGAGCUUGCUCUUACGGGUGGCGAGUGGCGGACGGGUGAGGAAUACAUCGGAAUCUACUUUUUCGUGGGGGAUAACGUAGGGAAACUUACGCUAAUACCGCAUACGAUCUACGGGUGAAAGCAGGGGAUCUUCGGACCUUGCGCGAUUGAAUGAGACGAUGUCGGAUUAGCUAGUUGGCGGGGUAAAGGCCCACCAAGGCGACGAUCCGUAGCUGGUCUGAGAGGAUGAUCAGCCACACUGGAACUGAGACACGGUCCAGACUCCUACGGGAGGCAGCAGUGGGGAAUAUUGGACAAUGGGCGCAAGCCUGAUCCAGCCAUACCGCGUGGGUGAAGAAGGCCUUCGGGUUGUAAAGCCCUUUUGUUGGGAAAGAAAAGCAGCAGGUUAAUACCCCGCUGUUCUGACGGUACCCAAAGAAUAAGCACCGGCUAACUUCGUG